AUUUGUAAUCAACUUAUUGAAUAUGUGGAGAGGUUAGUUGACCUGUCGCGCCAGAAGCCUCCCAUUUUGCCGAGGAUAUCUUUUCACUGUGUCGCCUUUUAGAAAUGACAUACAAGGCGGAGUGUCAAUUGGGAACGAAUGAACGACACACACCCGGUAAUAUCACUCCGUUCUAAUUAAUUGCUGUGGAAUUGAAAUGGCGACCAGCCUGGGUGAAUUGUGGGGUCGCCCGGAGGAUAAGUCGAACAAAUAACGCCAGCACUCACUCACCGAAAACCCUCGCCAGAAACUGACUUCUCUCUCUGCUCUUUGGAAAAGUUAAACCAAGUGCUGAACGCUGUGUGGAGCUCCAAGUCCGCCUUUAAACUUGAGCAUUUUUUUUCUCAAAAGCAGGAUUCUUAGAAACAUUUAAAAUAAAAUAUAUAUAUAUAUAAGGCUCCAAACCCAACCCAAGCACCAAAGAAAGAAGAAACAAAAAAUAAAACAUUCGUUAUUUUGUAAACAACCGGUUAGGGUCGUACUGACAUUGUAUCUAAUUGCUCCUUAAAUCUGGCUACUCCCCUCCCCCAGAAUAGGCCAGACUCAAACAUAUUGAAACAUUUUUCUCUGUAACAUAUAAAGAGUCGGGGUGAAAGGGGCCAGCCGGGUCGCUUCGUCUGAGCUCAGGUCUACCGUCAAUUAUACUCUAACGGAACUGAGCAAGAUACGAUGUAUGGAAGAAAAUAGGUCAAUCAGACCAAUCUAUUUUGACUGGGACCACAAGAGACUGCAGAUGCUGGAAUCUUCAUCGAGAAACAAAGCGCUAGAGGAACUGGCACUAUUCUCAUCUAACCUAAUAGCGUGGCCCUCUCCCAUGCCUCUUCAUCAGUAUAAGAUAGGUACCUUUUAAAUACUGUGUAGGAAGGAACUGCAGAUGCUGGUUGAAACCGAAGACAGACACAAAAAGCUGGAGUAACUCAGCGGGGCAUGCAGCAUCUCUGGAGAGAAGAAAUGGAUGACGUUUCGGGUCAAGGCCCUUCUUCAGGCUUUUAAAUACUGUAACAGUACCUGUCACAAUGACAGUUUCUGGCAGAUCGUUUCAUACACCCACGUGGAAAAGUGAAAUGUGAAAAAGUUACCCCUCAGUUUCCUAUUAAAUAUUUCCCCUCUCAUCUUAAACCUAUAUCCUGUGGUUCUUAAUUGCCCUACUCCAGGUAAAAGACUGCAUUCACCCUAAUAUAGAUGUCAAGAUGUACAACAGGGAAUUGAGAAGGAACAUUUUUACUCAAACAAUGGUAAGAAU